AAAAGUGAUCUGAUAAUCUGAGAAUGGUCAUUUAAUGUGGUCUUGUUGGGCUUGACUUGAAUGAAUUUGCUGUGUCUUUAUUAUAUAUGGGAUAUUUAUUUGAAAAGGAAAUUAAAGAGAAAAAUUAUAAUAAUGAAGUUAACGAAAUCAGAGAGAUGUGCAAGGAUUUUAUAAAGGAGCUAAUUAUCCAACUCAGAGAAAGACUUCCAGAUAAUUUUGAGAUAAUUAGGAAAACUGAAAGUUUUUGCAGCAGAAAAUGUACUCAAACAUAAUAUAAAUCAUAAUGAGCUCAUUUCCAUAUUGGAACACUUUAACUAUAAGAAUAUAGAUGGAAUUCUUGCCCAAUAUGGCAAAAUUCAAUUAGUCCCUUGGCAAAGUACAGAUGACACGAUACAAUUUUGGUCAGAAGUACUGACUUAUAAAGAUGCUGGCCAAAACAAGCCUUUUGAAGAAAUCGCUUUAUUUGCCAUUGGCAUUUUAAGUCUACCGUGGUCAAAUGCUGCUAUUAAACGUGUAUUCAGUCAAAUGAAUAUUGUUAAGACCAAGCUAAGGAACAAAAUGACCGUUAAAUCCUUAAACUCAAUAUUAAAUAUAAGAUAUGGAUUGCGCCGUUAUGGAAAAUGUUGUCACAACUAUCAAUUACCGGAGAAAUAUUUAAAUUUAAUCCGUUUCAGCGAUAAAUAUACCGAUUCAAGCAAUAGCGAAUUGGAUGAAAUAACACAAUUAGAAAUGUA